rnacentral:tRNA from 1 species
GCACCCGUAGCUCAAUGGAUAGAGCAGUGGCGUUCUAAGCCAACGGUUGGGGGUUCGAGUCCCUCCGGGUGCUCCG